rnacentral:rRNA from 1 species
GCAAGUCGAGGGGUAACAGGAGGGAGCUUGCACUUUUGCUGACGACCGGCGCACGGGUGCGUAACGCGUAUAGAACCUACCUUAUAGUAAGGGAUAGCCCAGAGAAAUUUGGAUUAAUACCUUAUAGUAUAUUAUUUCGGCAUCGUUAUAAUAUUAAAGAUUUAUUGCUAUAAGAUGGCUAUGCGUUCUAUUAGUUAGUUGGUGAGGUAACGGCUUACCAAGACAUCGAUGGAUAGGGGCCCUGAGAGGGGGAUC